rnacentral:lncRNA from 1 species
CAGAAGUAUUUUUUUUUUUUUUGUUUCAUUUUUUUUUUUCUUUUUAGGGCCAAACCUGUGGCACAUGGAAGUUCCCAGGCUAGAGGUCAAAUCAGAGCCACAGUUGUCAGCCUACAUCACAGCCACAGCAACACAAGAUCCAAGCUGCCUUUGUGACCUGUGCCACAGCUCACGGCAAUGUUAGAUGCUUAACCCACUGAGCAAGGCCAGGAAUCAAACCCUCAUCCUCACAGACACUACAUUGGGUUCCUAACCCACUGAACUACAAUGGGAACUCUGAGUUUCAAUUUUUUGCUUCCAAGGUUAUUCUUAAAUUUGUAUGACAUUGCAUCAUUUUCAAAAAUCCCUAUCAGAGGAGAUACCCUAUAUUAAAUUGUCUUUGGGUAAUAAAACACAUUUUGAAAUCAAAGUGAGCUGAGAGAUGUUCCUCAGAUGUCUUCUGAUUUAGAAACUAGGGAAGCAAUAUAGAUUACAGGGAAUUUUGGGGAUAAUACUUCUGGGAAGAAACUCAAGGAUAAGAUAAAUAAGAACUGGACUUGGGUGUACAAAGACACAAUAGGUCUUUAAUACUUUGUCAUGUUAAUUUAUUUAAUAAAUAUUUGGUGAACUCUCACUAGGUUCCAGGCCCUGUGUAGGCACACAUGUUUUCUGGUAUUUAAGAGGAUAAGAAUAUGUCUUGUAGUUAAUAGUAUAAAUGAAUGAAUGAUGCAAUAUAUAUGUAGCAAAUCACAAUAACUUUUCUUUUGUUGAUUGUGGCAUGAAGAUAAAUUCUUUCUAUAAAUGUAUUAGAAAUUGGAUUGUUGGUCAAAUAUAAACCACUGCUUGAUUUGUUAACAUUUAAGAAUAACAUUUGUUAUUCACUAUUUUCCUGAGAUCACUUUCAAUUUUAAGUGUCAAAAUGAAGAGAAGCACAUUGUCAUUUUUACAAAAUAAUAUUUUAAAAAACAGAGUUAAGACCUUCUGAUGAAUUUGUCAUGAAAUUCUUGUCAGAGAGACUUUGACAGUUUUGUUUCAAUAAUUAAAAACAUAUUUGCUCUGAGUAUAAGCCUCUGAGAAUAUGUUUAAAAGAACAGUUUCACUUGGGUUGAGUAAGCAGCUAUAUGGACAGGAUGUAAAUAUGCCAUCCAGCUUUGUUGUAUAGUAGAUGAGCCAGUUACUAGAAUUAUGUGUGUUUUCAGACCUACUAAUCUCUGAGCAUAAUACAGUCUCCAUGAUAACUACUUAAAAUUCUGAUGUGAACAAUGCUUAUCAUCACUUUCCACCCAAUAGUGUUAUCUCUUAACAUAUUGGGAUGGGUUCUUUUAUUAUAAAUAGAAAUUCCACUGCUUUACUUCUAUUCCAUUUAACUUCAUUCUCUGCACCUUUGAGUUUACACUGCUUUUUUGGUUUAUUUUGUUGUUGUUUAAAUAUAAUUGAGAUAGAGGCUAUGUUUUAAGUAAAUUAACCAAGUAGUUUAUAACUAUUGCUCUUGGUGGUACUUCAGUUUUGUUUUGUUUUUGUUUUUUUUUGGCUCAUAUCUCACAUUAUUCUCUUUAUAAUAUUUUCUUUAGGUACUUUAUAUUUUAUCUGUCUUUUGCUGAGCUAUGGACUUAGUGUUACUGAUACUCAGAUCAAAAUAAUCUUUGCAGAACUCUCUUAGUUUUCUCUAUCAUUGCCUUGUAGGACCUCUAUUUAGAUGGUGCACAUAUCUCCACAAGUCCAAAAUUAAAGCCAUUACCUUCUUACAAAUUUAUCAAAAUAGUGCUUCUUCCAGUUCUUCCCUAUUUUGAUUUACAGCCCAAGAAAAAUCCAUGGGUCACAAGGCAAAAUUCUGGAAAUCAAUCAUCUUAGUAAGGAUGCCAAUUUAUAAGGUAGUUAUAAGAUAUAUCAAAUGAUAAACCUCUCAAAUUUGAUAGCUUAAUUUAACACAAUUUAUUUCUCACUCUCAUCACAAUAAAAAAACAGGUAUUAGUCCCAGUUAGUUGCCCUCCUGCAAUAAUGAUUCAGAAAUGCAGAUUCCUUAUCUUUCACUCCAAAUUUAACCUUUGGCUCCUAAGGUCACUGUUGGUGUCACCUCCACACAGGAAGUCAACAGAUGUAGAAUGCAUAAAAGCUACUUUACUCUUCAGUAGCUUUUAUGACUAGGCCUAGAAGAGCAUUCAACUUUUCUGCCAUAAUUUUAUUAACUAGAUCUCUGUUCAUGGCAUUGCAAAAUGUAGGCACCUGUGUGUCCAGAAGGAAAAUAAAAUGGGUUUUGGUGAUUACAUAGAAGUAUCUAUUCCAUCAUCAUAGAGUCUUCUCCAAAAUUUCCCCAAGCCAUUUCAAAAUGUCUUUAUCAAUCUUUAGGUGCCUGGCUCAUUCAUUCACUUGCUCUCUCUUUCUCUCUCCCUGCUCUUAACAACUGCAUUGGGCUUUUAAUUGGUCUGUAAAAUAGAAUGAUAAUUGUGUCAAAUUUUCAAGUUAUUUUAAGGAGUAAAGAUGAUCCAUAUAACAUUCCUUGCAUAUAAUAAUGUUUAAUAGAUGGUAGCUAUUUAUCAAUUACAGAUUCUAUAUCAUUUGGUUCCCAUGUGGACGAAGAGAAGCUUAAAGACAUUGUGCAUGUUUCAUCAACUUUGUAUCCAGACACCUACUUUAUAAGAUUUAAAGAUUCUUUUGAUAGCAGACACAACAAAAUGACACUAAGAUAGGUCAAAGGGAUGUUAAUUACACAUCUCCAAACAAAGAAGGUUGCCAAGCAAGGCCACACAGGCACUUGCACCUGAGACCUGAACAAAAGCAGUCUCCCCUAGGGGGAAGCUUAUAUAUAUCAAGAGGGCCUUGUGGUUGCCAAAGGGGAUGGUGGGGGUGGGGGUUGUAGGAGACAGAUAAAUUAGGAGCUUGGGAUUAACAUAUAUGUAGAUAAAUUAGGAGUUACAGGAUUAGCAUAUAAACAACAAGGUCCUGCUGUAUAGCACAAGGAACUAAACAAUAUCUUGAAAUAACCUAUAAUGGAAAAGAAUCUGAAAAAAAGUAUGUGUAUAUAUAUUCAUAUCUAUAUAUGAAUCACUUUGCUGUAUACUUGAAAUUAGCACAACAUUGAAAAUUAACUAUACUUCAUUUAAAAAAUUAAAUACUGACUGCAUUAUUGUUUUAAAAAAAGUACGGGGUUAGCUAGGUUUAAAGGGAUUGGACUAUUUUGAAUUAACCUCUCUCUUCCCUUUCCCUUUCUCCCUCCCUCUCAUUUUCCCUGGUUCCUGGCCUGGGGCAAUUAGGGCAGUGCAUGGUGGACCUGAAUGUAAGAGCCUCAUAAGGGCAGUUGCUCAAGUGUGGACCCAAGAAGGAGUGUUGACUGGCUCCUACUCAGAGCUUCAAAAUUGGAAAAAAAAAAAAGGGUGGGGGGAUUCCCAUUGUGGCACAGUGGAAACGAAUCUAACAAAGAUCCAUGAGGAUGCAGGUUCGAUCCCUGGUCUCUCUCAGUGGGUUAAGGAUCAGGCAUUGCCGUGAACUGUUGUGUAGGUUGCAGACACGGCUCGGAUCUGGCGUUGCUGUGGCUGUGGCAUAGGCUGGCAGCUCCAAUUUAACUCCUAGCCUGGGGGAACUCCAUAUGCCACAGGUGCAGCCAUAGAAGAAGAAAAAAAAACCUAACUAACCUGUAUUUAAAUACAAUACCUUGGUAAAAAUAACUACCUGUCUAUCUUUGUUAAGCAAAAUGAAAUUAAUAUCCUGGGAAAAUAAUAUUCAACCAUAUUUCUUAGGUCUUGUGCUUAGUAUUAAUGCUUGGCUUUGGCUAUACUGACAUCAAUAACAAAUUUGAAUAGUUACUGCAAUGCCUUUAAUUACAAAUCUAUUAGGAGAUAGUGAUAUAUUACACUGAUGUGUUUAAUUUUCAGUAACCUUUUAAAACUCCAGAAGUUUCUUUUAAAAUAAUGAAUUUUCACUCCUGACCAUAAGUUGACUCAUAUAUUUGUGUAUCAUUUUAAACAGUUUCUAGACUCUUACUUCCUUCAUCCGAUAGAGAAAAUACCAUAUGCAAGGCUAUCUUUCAUAUCGAUAGCAUCUAUUUCAUGUUUAACCAAUCAAAAAAUAUUCAUACAGGAGUUCCUGUCAUGGUGCAGCAGAAACAAAUCCGACUAGGAGCCAUGAGGUUGUGGGUUCAAUCCCUGCCCUCGCUCAGUGGGUCAAGGAUCCAUUGUUGCCAUGAGCUGUGGUGUAGGUUGCAGUCGCAGCUUGGAUCUUGGUGUUGCUGUGGCAAAGGCCAGCAACUGCAGCUCCGACUAGACCCCUUGCCUGAGAAUUUCCAUGUGCCAGAGGUAUGCCCUAAAAAGACAAAAGAUUAAAAAAAAAAAUUCAUACUAAGUCCCAAUUUUCCCAUACCUUCUAUUUUUCUGUCACUAGCAAAUGCAAACAUAGUCACUUUCUGAUCUCAACAUCUGAAACAUAAUGGACCUUCAAGAGAACAUUCAAGAAAACAAAGUUAUUUUAUUGUGCAUUAUGCAUCCUCAUUUUGACUUUUUUUCAUUCUUAAUCAUUUGGGAUGCCUUGUACAAUUCCAUCUGCUGUGCAGAGCUGGCAUGGAACUCUCCUUGGAAUCAAUCUGUAUUCCUAUUAUGUCUUCUUCUUUUCAAUAGCAGAAAGAAGAGAAACCAUUUUCAUCUCUCCUAAUGCCAGACACCUGUUUCAACUGUCUGCUUUGGUUCAUAAAAUUCAGUCAUUUCCAGGAUUAUUAUAAACUUACCCUAGGAACAAUUCUGGCAAAAAAAACAAAAGCAAAAAAAACCCACCCUUUUAUUUGAAGCAUUUGCUUCUGGUUUCACCCUUGCACUAUUCACUUUCCCAUUGCUGCCAGCCCUUUUCUCUCAGUUUUCAUCCAUUUUCCCCCUAUUUUAACUACUAAGUUGCCUAUCUGUUAAAGAAUAAGAUUUCCUUGGUUUACAUGUGAUAUACUCCUUGUUCUGAUAAUUGUGAGAUUGAGCUGAAACGAUCUUUAGAGUGUGUCUAAGAAAACCUUAUACUACUUAGCAGUUUACAAAAAUUACAUCAGCCAAGUUAGCAAUAAUCUCACCUGUACUAAUAUGGUGCUUUUAUAUGAAUUUCUUACACAUACAUCAAUUUCCUUGACUUUUACACACAUUUUAACUAAGUAGAUCAGUGUCAUUUUUCCCAUUUCUUAGAUCAGGUCUAAGGCUGAAAGAGGUUAACAGAGCUGCUGAAAGGUCACUGGUUUUACUAUUAGUUUUCAUAAAAUCAUGCAUAAUUCUUCAAAAUCUUAAGAAAGCUGAAAUAACUAAUCCAAAUAAUUUCAAAAUAAUGUGAUGUUUUUUAAUAAAUGUCAGAAGAAAGGGUUAAAAUGGGAUAUUCAUAAUUCAAAUUGAUUCUUAAUAUUCCUCAGUCAAAAACUACAUGGAAAUUCUACUUUCCAGAUAUUUGCCAAUUGUCUUUAAUUUAUAGUAAAUACAUCCUUUGAUUUAGAGUAAAUAAAUUAUAAAUUAUAAUUCUAAAUCCGAGUUUCCAGUCCCCAAUUACUAAUCUUGUGUAAUUCUUUGAAAUUAAAGAGUGCAUAGUACUAUAAAAAAAUAAAAACGUUUCUAUUUAUUGUAAAUCUUACUACCUGUCAAUGAAUAUAAUUAUUGAUACAUUUUUACUUCUACAUCUUUUAUGAAGCUCUAACAUUUAUAUA